GCAAGAUACCACGGGCGCACGGCGGAUGCCUUGGCACAGGGAGCCGAUGAAGGACGCGGCAAGCUGCGAUAAUCCCCGGCGAGGAGCACACAUCCUUCGACCCGGGGGUCUCCGAAUGGGCGAACCCAUGCACAGAGGUGUGCAUAUCCCCGGCCCGAACACAUAGGGCCGGGGAGGACAACCCGGGGAACUGAAACAUCUAAGUACCCGGAGGAGAGGAAAUCAAUCUCGAGACUCCCCGAGUAGCGGCGAGCGAAAGGGGACCGAUGGCCAAACCGUCGAGCGGGCAUACCCGGCAGGGGUUCCGCCGACGGGGUUGCAGGGCCGCGCAUCCGGGGGCUGCCGCCCCCGGGCGCAGGUCCGGCUGGGGAGCGGAACGGCAUGGGAGGGCCGGCCGCAGCGGGUGACAGCCCCGUACGCGAACCCAGACCGGACGGCGCGACGCGGUCCCUGAGUAGGGCCGGGCACGUGAAACCCGGUCCGAACCUGGGUGGACCACCAUCCAAGCCUGAGUACUACCCUGUGACCGAUAGCGCACCAGUACCGUGAGGGAAAGGUGAAAAGCACCCCGGGAGGGGAGUGAAACAGUACCUGAAACCGUGCGCCCACGAGCAGUCGGAGCACCUUUAUGGUGUGACGGCGUGCCUUUUGUAGAAUGAGCCAGCGAGUCGCUGGCGCGGGGCGAGGUUAACCGAAAGGGAGCCGGAGCGAAAGCGAGCCUUAACAGGGCGACUUGAGUCCCGCGCCGCGGACGCGAAGCCGGGUGAGCUAUCCGUGGGCAGGCUGAAGCGGGGGUAAGACCCCGUGGAGGGCCGAACGCACGUCGGUUGAAAACGGCGGCGAUGACCUGCGGAUAGGGGUGAAAGGCCAAUCAAACCCGGAGAUAUCUCGUUCUCCCCGAAAUAGCUUUAGGGCUAGCGUCGCGCGUUCACCGCCGGAGGUAGAGCACCGGAUGGACGAGGGGGCUUCGCCGCCUACCGAAUCCAACCGAACUCCGAAUGCCGGCGGCCCAGAGCGCGGCAGUCAGAGCAUGUGGGCUAAGCUGUGUGCUCGAGAGGGAAACAGCCCGGACCGCCCGCUAAGGUCCCCAAGUUCCAGCCGAGUGGCAAAGGAUGUGCGUCCGCCCAGACAACCAGGAUGUUGGCUUAGAAGCAGCCAUCCAUUCAAAGAGUGCGUAACAGCUCACUGGUCGAGUGGACAUGCGCCGACAAUACACGGGGCUAAGCUGGACACCGAAGCGGCGGGAUUUUGAUUUUCAGAAUCGGUAGGGGAGCUUCCCAUGGGCGGAGAAGCCGGAGGGCGACCGACGGUGGAGCGCAUGGGAGUGAGAAUGCUGGCAUGAGUAGCGAGAGACGAGAGAGUAACUCGUCCGCCGUGAACCCGAGGUUUCCUGGGCAAGGCUAAUCCUCCCAGGGUCAGUCGGGGGCUAAGGCGAGGCCGGUAGGCGUAGCCGACGCGCAGCAGGCAGACAUUCCUGCACCGCGCACGCGGCGCUACGACCGACGGGGCGACGGAUGGGGGUGGCUCGGCGGGGUUCUGGACGUCCCCGUGAUGGAGCGCGGCCCGCGGACCAGGGAAAUCCGGUCCGCAUCGAGGGCGAGGCUCCGGACGAAGCGAUCAAGCGAAGCGAGUGAGCCCGAGGUCCCUAGAAAAACCCCUAGGCAGGCGCGUGCGCGCCCGUACCGCAAACCGACACAGGUGGGUGGGUAGAACAUACCGAGGCGAUCGGGUCAACCAUGGUCAAGGAACUCGGCACAAUGGCCCCGUAACUUCGGGAGAAGGGGUGCCCGCGCGUACGUGAACGGACUUGCUCCGGGAGCGGAGGCGGGCCGCAGUGGAGAGGCCCAAGCGACUGUUUACCAAAAACACAGGACUCUGCAGAAGCCGCAAGGCGACGUAUAGGGUCUGACGCCUGCCCGGUGCCGGAAGGUCACGCGGAGGAGUUAGCCGAUUCGGCGAAGCCCCGAAGCCAAGCCCCGGUAAACGGCGGCCGUAACUAUAACGGUCCUAAGGUAGCGAAAUUCCUUGUCGGGUAAGUUCCGACCUGCACGAAAGGCGCAACGACUUGGGCGCUGUCUCGACCAUGGACCCGGUGAAAUUGCACUGGUCGUGAAGAUGCGACUUACCCGCGGAAGGACGGAAAGACCCCGUGAACCUUCACUGCAGCUUGGCAUUGGCCGCUGGUCCCGCGUGUAGAGGAUAGGCAGGAGGCAUCGAUCCGGAGGCGCCAGCCCCCGGGGAGCCGCCCUUGGAAUACUGCCCUCGCGCGACCGGCGUCCUAACCCGAGGCCGUCAACCGGCUCGGGGACCGUGCCAGGCGGGCAGUUUGACUGGGGCGGUCGCCUCC
rnacentral:rRNA from 1 species